rnacentral:rRNA from 1 species
AUGGGAGUCAGUUCGGCUGGAUCGGUGACAGGUGCUGCAUGGCUGUCGUCAGCUCGUGUCGUGAGAUGUUGGGUUAAGUCCCGCAACGAGCGCAACCCUUGUCCUUAGUUGCCAGCAUUCAGUUGGGCACUCUAAGGAGACUGCCGGUGUCAAACCGGAGGAAGGUGGGGAUGACGUCAAGUCCUCAUGGCCCUUAUGUCCAGGGCUACACACGUGCUACAAUGGCCGGUACAAAGGGGCGCAAGACCGCGAGGUGGAGCAAAUCCCAAAAAACCGGUCUCAGUUCGGAUUGGAGUCUGCAACUCGACUCCAUGAAGUUGGAAUCGCUAGUAAUCGCGUAUCAGCAUGACGCGGUGAAUACGUUCCCGGGCCUU